rnacentral:pre_miRNA from 2 species
UGUUAUGAAUGAGGAAAGAAAGUGGUUUCUUGCGACGGAAUCUACUCCUGGUGAAAAUGCUGUGAA